GGUCUUGAAUUUGAUUCUCAUAUUUUGGGAUUUUCUGAUUUAAUUUUUAAUUUUGUGUUAUGCCCAAUUUGAGUCUUUGGGCUUUUUUUUUUUUUUUAAUUUUGUUAAUUUAUUAAUAAGAAUUAGUUUAUUAGUUGGGUGGUAAGGUGUUUAUUAAUUUACUCUUUGGUCUUAUUUAGGUCCCUUUGCAAGCAAAUUGGAAUUAUUUUUGCUAAUUGGUGAUAUCGCCUAGGUGGAGGAAGUUGGAUGGGAUUGAAAUUCUAGGGGAGUUUCUUUAGGGAUGAUAUCUGAUUCAGUGGGUAGGUUUUAUUUGAUUUUAGAUUUUUUUUAAAUUUCCUAAAAUUCUGCUAUCUGCUCCCAUUGUUUUCCCAAACUUCUUUCACGUUAUUUUCUUCUUCGUUCUCCUUCUUGUGUCGUUUUCAUUUUCUUUUCUUGUCUCUUGUUCUUGUGAUUUUAUUUUUGCGUUCUAUCAUCGCUGUUGUUCUGCAUUUUGUCAUGCCGUUAGUCUAUCGAACGAUUUUGGGAGAGGAACGUAUGGUGUUAGACGAACCUCCAGCGAAUUAAGUCUUCUAGUCAGUUUGGGCUGCUCGCUGCUGUUAUUCAUAUGGUGAUCUUCAGACUUAGCAUUGGACAGCGAUACAGGACCUCGGUUUCCACGCUUUUGGUUUAGUACGUUCCGGACUGAUAUUUUUUAUGGACUUUUACAGACUUUUGUAACGUUUUAAUUUUGUUUGGGAUUUCAAAUUUUAUUUUGGUGUUUGGUUCUGCAAAAA